GUGGGAAUAGCUCAGUGGUAGAGCGCAUGCUUAGCAUGCAUGAGGUCCUGGGUUCAAUCCCUAGUACCUCCA
rnacentral:tRNA from 1 species